UUCUUGUUACUUUUCAGUCAGUUGUGACUUUUGACAUAAACUGUGGUAAGAGUGGAACAUACCAAUCAAGCAAUGGUGCUUGUGUCACGAGUACGCAAGGUUCAUCCCAGAGCAGUGGCAGCCAAUCCAAGGUUAUAGUGGUUAAACAAGGAGCCAGCAGUGGCAGUGGAUGUGUUGGGGUAAGUGCACUGUGUAGAGAUGAUGUUGGGCUUUGGUCCUGAAUAAACAGCACACCAUACUUUUUGUCAUCAAGUUAUAACAAAAAAUAGCAUAAAGAGAUGAUGUGACUUUGUUCUCAAGG
rnacentral:lncRNA from 1 species